AGUCGAGCGGAAGGCCCUUCGGGGUACUCGAGCGGCGAACGGGUGAGUAACACGUGAGCAACCUGCCCUAGGCUUUGGGAUAACCCCGGGAAACCGGGGCUAAUACCGAAUAGGACCUGCUACCGCAUGGUGGUGGGUGGAAAGUUUUUCGGCCUGGGAUGGGCUCGCGGCCUAUCAGCUUGUUGGUGGGGUGAUGGCCUACCAAGGCGACGACGGGUAGCCGGCCUGAGAGGGCGACCGGCCACACUGGGACUGAGACACGGCCCAGACUCCUACGGGAGGCAGCAGUGGGGAAUAUUGCACAAUGGGCGGAAGCCUGAUGCACCGACCCCCGCGUGAGGGAUGACGGGCUUUCGGGUUGUAAACCUCUUUCAGCAGGGACGAAGCGUAAGUGACGGUACCUGCAGAAGAAGCGCCGGCCAACUACGUGCCAGCAGCCGCGGUAAGACGUAGGGCGCGAGCGUUGUCCGGAUUUAUUGGGCGUAAAGAGCUCGUAGGCGGCUUGUCGCGUCGACUGUGAAAACCCGCAGCUC
rnacentral:rRNA from 1 species